rnacentral:rRNA from 1 species
GCAAGUCGAACGGUAAGGUCUUUAGCUUGCUAGAGAUACACGAGUGGCGAACGGGUGAGUAACGCGUACACAACCUACCUUCAAGAAUGGGAUAGCCCUGGGAAACUGGGAUUAAAACCGUAUAGAAUUAUCAAAUUGAUGAUUAGAUAAUUAAAACUUAGGUGCUUGGAGAUGGGUGUGCGUUAGAUUAGCUAGUUGGUGAGGUAAUGGCUCACCAAGGCUACGAUCUAUAGGGGGCGUGAGAGCGUGGAC